AUUGAACGCUGGCGGCAUGCUUUACACAUGCAAGUCGAACGGCAGCGCGGGCUUCGGCCUGGCGGCGAGUGGCGAACGGGUGAGUAAUUCAUCGGAACGUGCCCAGUUGUGGGGGAUAGCCCGGCGUAAGCCGGAUUAAUACCUCAUACGACCUGUGGUUGAAAGCGGGGGACCGAAAGGCCUCGCGCUAUUUUUUCUGCCGAUUUCGUUUUAGCUAGUUGGUUUGGUAAAGGCUUACCAAGGCGACGAUCCGUAGCUGGUCUGAGAGGACGACCAGCCAAACGGGGACUGAGACACGGCCCAGAGGACUAAGGGAGGCAGCAGUGGGGAAUGUUGGAAAAUGGGGGGAAACCUGAACCAGAAAAGCCGAGUGAGGGAAGAAGGACUUAGGGUUGUAAAACGGUUUUGUUAGGGAAGAAAAAAUGUGGGCUAAUACCCAGGGGGGAUGACGGUAACGGAAGAAUAAGCACCGGCUAACUACGUG
rnacentral:rRNA from 1 species